UGGCUCAGAACGAACGCUGGCGGCGUGCCUAAGACAUGCAAGUCGAGUGGGUUUAGACCCACGGCGAACGGGUGAGUAGAAGCUCGGAACUUUGCUUAAGUCAGGGAUAUCCUCCCGAAAGGGAGAGCAAUACCAGAUGUUAUCGCAAGAUAAAAGUCGCAAGACGCUUAAGUUGAGGCCGGGCCCCCAUCAGCUAGUUGGUUGUGUAAAAGCCUACCAAGACAAAGACGGGUAGCGGAAGCGAGAGCUUGAUCCGCCACACUUUUUCUCUCGACACGGGACUGACUCCUACGGGAGUCAGCAGU
rnacentral:rRNA from 1 species